AAUCAACGCUGGCGGCGUGCCUAACACAUGCAAGUCGAACGCGAAAGCCCCGCAAGGGGUAAGUAGAGUGGCAAACGGGUGAGUAACACGUGGGUGACCUGCCUUCGAGUGGGGGAUAACGUCCCGAAAGGGACGCUAAUACCGCAUGACAUCCUGCUUUUGAAAAAGCGGAGAUCAAAGCUGGGGAUCGCAAGACCUAGCGCUUGAAGAGGGGCCCGCGCCUGAUUAGCUAGUUGGUGAGGUAACGGCUCACCAAGGCGACGAUCAGUAUCCGGCCUGAGAGGGCGGACGGACACGCUGGGACUGAGACACGGCCCAGACUCCUACGGGAGGCAGCAGUGGGGAAUUGUUCGCAAUGGGCGCAAGCCUGACGACGCAACGCCGCGUGGAGGACGAAGAUCUUCGGGUCGUAAACUCCUGUCGAGCGGGACGAACGCUUCGCGGAUGAAUAAUCCGCGGAAUUGACGGUACCGCUAAAGGAAGCCCCGGCUAACUCCGUG
rnacentral:rRNA from 1 species